rnacentral:pre_miRNA from 1 species
AGUGGAAUGGCUGGGUCAUAGAGUAGGCAUAUACUUAACUUUUGAAGAAACUGCCAAGCUGUUUUCCAGAGUGGCUGUUUCAUUUUACAUUCCCACUAGCAAU